rnacentral:lncRNA from 1 species
GUUUGAUGUCAUGUCCACAAUGAGAGUGAAUCAGCAGCCUCAUUUUUGCUUCGUACUCCGUACGUAAACGCAGCACCACACGUUGCUGAGUUGCUUGGAGUCGCGGAAGGACUAAUUAGCAGCGACUCCCGAGUUCUCCUGCGAGAUACUGUACCUAGCAAAUUAGUGCCAAGAUCAAGGGAGUAGCCAGAUACGCUUCGCUAGUCAACAGGGUUCAAGCGGAAAAGUGGGUGUCGUUAAAAACCUGCGUGUAAGGUUUGCGUGUAAUCACUAGCACACCCAGCACAGGCGUAACCGCCAUUCACUCGUCACUCAGGCAUCAAUUUCUCUAACGUUUCGUGGAGGGUGGUGUGUACGGUCUACGCAUCGACCACGACAAGCAGCUCGGCGGAAGAGAGAAGUGAGAUGAGAAGGGAAAAAGCGUGGCGGGAAAAGUUGAUGGUUCUUUGCUGGCUUUCGGAUUUUUGUUGGAGCUGACAGACGACAGCACACAGACUGAAGCCUGCGCCUGUGGCCUUCCUUGCGCUGGACCAGCGAAACUUUUGGUCCCUGUUGGCCGGAGCUGUAUUCUGCUACCCUUGUCAGACGAACGGCAAACACGGGGGUUAGUUUCCACGUUACGCAUGAAUUAUCUCUCGUCGGUAGACUGCUUUAACGCGGGACGUCAUAGAGAGGAAGGCAUAAAAACGCGACGGCAGGUGCUCUUUUGACAGACAAUCCUUUGUCGUCAGCUUUGUGCGGCCGUCCACGGAGGUGCGCCAUCUCCCUGGCACGGACUCACAGUGAACAUGAAAUACAGAGCAAUCAUGCGGUCCAUGAUGCAACACAGUGCUUUCGAGACCGCGUUCAGAAGACGCCGGAGAGACAGUCACGACACUAUAUCCCUAGGACAACAGUUCUGCGUUCACUUGCCGCUUUAACCCGAGCCAGCUACUCUGUUCUUUAUUUGCCACGAAUUUGUUUUCGGCUCUGCACCAACACUCUUUCAUGAACAGACAGCGUCAACAAGCAAGCAUACAACCCGACAACGGUCCAGCAGGAUUGAUGUUUCAUUGAUGCUAAGCUACACAAUCAUUCCCGGCGCAGCCUCAACCCGCGGAUUUCUGGGACAAGACGCGCCGGAAUAUACAACCACACUUAGUGGACCUUAAACGCACAAUCCCCUACGACUCCUCUGCAUUAGGCCUGCC